rnacentral:misc_RNA from 1 species
UGUGGGAGCGAGCCUGCUCGCGAUAGCGUUGGGUCAGCCAAUACCCAUAUUACUGACCCACCGCUAUCGCGAGCAGGCUCGCUCCCACA